rnacentral:rRNA from 1 species
CGUAGUCGAUGGGAAACAGGUUAAUAUUCCUGUACUUGGUGUUACUGCGAAGGGGGGACGGAGAAGGCUAUGUUGGCCGGGCGACGGUUGUCCCGGUUUAAGCGUGUAGGCUGGUUUUCCAGGCAAAUCCGGAAAACCAAGGCUGAGGCGUGAUGACGAGGCACUACGGUGCUGAAGCGACAAAUGCCCUGCUUCCAGGAAAAGCCUCUAAGCAUCAGGUAACAUCAAAUCGUACCCCAAACCGACACAGGUGGUCAGGUAGAGAAUACCAAGGCGCUUGAGAGAACUCGGGUGAAGGAACUAGGCAAAAUGGUGCCGUAACUUCGGGAGAAGGCACGCUGAUAUGUAGGUGAAGCGACUUGCUCGUGGAGCUGAAAUCAGUCGAAGAUACCAGCUGGCUGCAACUGUUUAUUAAAAACACAGCACUGUGCAAACACGAAAGUGGACGUAUACGGUGUGACGCCUGCCCGGUGCCGGAAGGUUAAUUGAUGGGGUUAGCGGCAACGCGAAGCUCUUGAUCGAAGCCCCGGUAAACGGCGGCCGUAACUAUAACGGUCCUAAGGUAGCGAAAUUCCUUGUCGGGUAAGUUCCGACCUGCACGAAUGGCGUAAUGAUGGCCAGGCUGUCUCCACCCGAGACUCAGUGAAAUUGAACUCGCUGUGAAGAUGCAGUGUACCCGCGGCAAGACGGAAAGACCCCGUGAACCUUUACUAUAGCUUGACACUGAACAUUGAGCCUUGAUGUGUAGGAUAGGUGGGAGGCUUUGAAGUGUGGACGCCAGUCUGCAUGGAGCCGACCUUGAAAUACCACCCUUUAAUGUUUGAUGUUCUAACGUUGGCCCCUAAUCGGGGUUGCGGACAGUGUCUGGUGGGUAGUUUGACUGGGGCGGUCUCCUCCUAAAGAGUAACGGAGGAGCACGAAGGUUGGCUAAUCCUGGUCGGACAUCAGGAGGUUAGUGCAAUGGCAUAAGCCAGCUUGACUGCGAGCGUGACGGCGCGAGCAGGUGCGAAAGCAGGUCAUAGUGAUCCGGUGGUUCUGAAUGGAAGGGCCAUCGCUCAACGGAUAAAAGGUACUCCGGGGAUAACAGGCUGAUACCGCCCAAGAGUUCAUAUCGACGGCGGUGUUUGGCACCUCGAUGUCGGCUCAUCACAUCCUGGGGCUGAAGUAGGUCCCAAGGGUAUGGCUGUUCGCCAUUUAAAGUGGUACGCGAGCUGGGUUUAGAACGUCGUGAGACAGUUCGGUCCCUAUCUGCCGUGGGCGCUGGAGAACUGAGGGGGGCUGCUCCUAGUACGAGAGGACCGGAGUGGACGCAUCACUGGUGUUCGGGUUGUCAUGCCAAUGGCACUGCCCGGUAGCUAAAUGCGGAAGAGAUAAGUGCUGAAAGCAUCUAAGCACGAAACUUGCCCCGAGAUGAGUUCUCCCUGAGACUUAGAGUCUCCUGAAGGAACGUUGAAGACGACGACGUUGAUAGGCCGGGUGUGU